AUUUCUCCAAAUUGACUUUCUAAUUUACAUUUAGACAAAAAUAUUCCUUUUUAAGGAUUAAAAGCAAUUUGAUCGGAAAAUGAUGAGAACACGGCUGUUAUGGUUCACUUCCGGCGCUCUCUUCACCGGCGGCACCAUUGCUUACUACCUUCAUCGUGACCUCUUCAAAGAUCGCUACCUUCUCGUCAAUCAAUUGAAGGACAAUUUUGGCGCUCUUGAAGCUAGGGUUUCUACUCUUGAAUCUGUUCCUCAUCAUUCAAAUGCUCAGGAUGGAGGUAGUUCGACCUGAAUUGUUAGCUUGAGGUUUUACAGCAUAGCUACUUUGUCUUCGUGGAAUUAAUGAAAUCUACAGCUGGCUCCUUGUAACUUCUUUGUUAUAUUUCUAUUGAGAAAAUCUUUCUCAUGAUUUAUAUACAUGGCACAAUUUUUUCUAUCAGUGUCUACUCUAGUUUUUCUCUUCUCUUUUUUUUUUCUUCUCUGGUUGAUCAAGUGUGAUAAUUGAUACCCCUUAUUGAGUAUAAGAAUAAGUAUUACUUUAUUAAACAUUCUAAAUUUUUCUCUGUUCUGAUCUACAACAAGAUAUUGUAAGUACUUGACCUUUCUAGAUCUUUAUUGCAAGUUGCGAGUACUUUUUUCUCUUGCUUAA